AAUCAACGCUGGCGGCGUGCCUAACACAUGCAAGUCGAGCGGGAAAGGGGGCUUCGGUCCCUGAGUAUAGCGGCGGACGGGUGAGUAACACGUGGGUAAUUUGCCCUUGGGUGUGGAAUAACUCAGGGAAACUUGAGCUAAUACCGCAUGACAUCCCCUUCUCACAGGAGUUGGGGAUCAAAGCCGGGGACCCUUCGGGGCCCGGCGCCUGAGGAGAAGCCCGCGCCCGAUUAGCUAGUUGGUGAGGAAUGGCUCACCAAGGCUUCGAUCGGUAGCCGGCCUGAGAGGGCGGACGGCCACACUGGGACUGAGACACGGCCCAGACUCCUACGGGAGGCAGCAGUGGGGAAUCUUGCGCAAUGGGCGAAAGCCUGACGCAGCGACGCCGCGUGA
rnacentral:rRNA from 1 species